AAAUAGAAUUCAAAUAUUCCAAAAAAAAAGUGCUAGUAAUAAUAAAGAUGAAAAAUGGAUUGCACCUGCCCCCAGGGAUCUCACGGUCCAGAAGUGGAAGCAGACACAUUAACAAAACAGUAUGAGAGAUGAAAAAUAGGAACAGGUACAAGGCACAGAAAUAGGGUAGAGGGGACGCAAUUACCUAGAGAGAGAAGGAAAAGGUGAGGAAAAGCUUCACAAAGGAGGAAAACUUGGGCUGGAAUUUAAAGACUUUGACUAAGUGCAUAAUGGAGGGAAAAAGAAAACUCUGUACAAAGGCACAGAGCAUGAAAUGAGCUGACAUUUUGGGGCCCAGAAGGAAUCUGAUAUUGCUGGAGGAGAGAGCAGACAGGCUAAGUGUGGAGAGAUGAACUGGCGAAGUAGUUAGCAGGCUGGGUCUAGAAUGUGGUGUGGUGAGCCACUGAUGGGUUUUCAAAAGCGGAUUUGAGUUUCCAAAAAGUUACUCUUGCGGUGCUGUCAAGAAUGAAUGGUUGGUCAUCUGAUCAACAAAAUGAAAAGCCAGUUGUUUCGAAAAAGUAAUUAAAUAGACAAACUCCUGCAUGAUUGGUUUCUUUUUAAGAGGCAGAACUAAACAGUACUAGAUAUGAACAGGGACAUUGAAGCAGAAAAAAGUAAAUAUUUAAAAAUCAUAAGGGAAUCACGUGAACAACUUCAGAGCAAUAUAUUUGAAACCUUAGAUACACCAUACAAUUUUUAGACAGCAUAAAUUAUGGAAAUAAACUUGAGAAGAAAUUGACACUGAAUAAACCCAUAACCAGUAAGGGGAAAAAAUUAACUCCACAGUCAAAAGUACACCACAAAGACUACUAGCUCCAGAGGAGUACGUGGACAAUUUCUUCCCAAAACUUCAAGGAAGAAAUAAUAACCCCUCACAAAUAACCAUUCUAGGGAAUAGAAAAUGAGAGAAAACUUGCCAACGUGUUUUAUAAAGUCAUUAUAAUCCUGAUGUCAAAGCCAGAGAAGGACUAAAUAAGAAUCAAUCUCACAUAUGGACAAAGAAGCAGAAAUACUGAAUAAAUGUAAGCAAGAAAUCCGAAAUAAGUGUGUAUAUAUAAAUGUCAUAUAAAGUAUAUUUUACAUGGCAUGCAAGAAUUGUUUAACAUUAGAAAAUCAAUCAUAUAAUUUAUCACAUUGACAUAUUACAAUUCAUAAUGGGAAACAUUCAGGGAAAUUCGACACCUGUUCAUAAUUUUUAAAAAAAUCUUUGCCAACUGGUAUGAAUCAUAGCUCCAUGACUUAUUCGUUAAUAAAUUUUAAUUCAGGUAAGAAAAUCUAAGCUUUGUACAAAAAAGGAAAUGAGUGGAUGAGAAGAGGAAAGAGAAUGGAGGCAAAGAGAACAAUUAUGAGGUCAUCAUGACAAAUCCAGGUAUGAGACACAGCCUUCAGAGGCUGGAGGAAAGUCCUGAUGGUAGAGGCAGAGGGGAGAGCAGAUUUCAGCCAUAGUUAGGAGGAAGACCGAUAGAAGCUGCUGACUGACUGGGCGUGGGAGGAGGGUCGUAAUGAGGAGACAGGCGUUCAUUAUGACUCCUGGCUUUCUGCACUAGGUGGCCGUGUGGAUGGUAAUUCAAUUACUCAAAAUUGAAAAUGCAGUUUGAAGAUUUGUCUGAAAUUAGCAAGUCCUCUUGCAUGAGGGUAAAAUAACUAAGAGAACUACUCAGCAGCCUGAAAAAGAGCUUUUGCCAUCACUGGAUUUCAAUUAAUAGCAGGACAGAGAGAGAGAGAAAAGCAUUACCUGCUUUUGAAGCCCACGUUAGAGCUGGGCCUGGCAAAGUCGCCACUUGAUAAACACUUACUGAAUCAGGCCAAAGCUACCAGCAGUUUACAGACUGUAUGAAUGAGUAAGAAGCUGAGGCUGUGGGGUACCCAGCAUCACAGCAGGCAAGAAAAAAGUCUACCUUGGAAGUAUAUAGUUAAUCUAGGGUUAAGAAGUACCUAAUAAUGGUAAUAUUAGUGAUACAAAUAUUUUUAACAUUGAAAACAGAGCAAAGAAGGAAAGAUAUUUUCAUUUUUCUUAAAUCCUGCUCUAUCACAUAUUCCGUUAUGUUUUUAUAAAUAAUUAUUACAUUUUUGAAUUAAAAAUUAAGCUUUGUUCACAACAGAUUUAAUUUGUAUAGAAAAUCACAGAAUGUAAUACUUUGGUCCUCAAGGAUUCCCACGUGCCUGAAGCACUGUGUCCACAUGCUGGCAGCUACAAGAAUUGCCUUUUUCUUCCCUCUUCAUUUCUUCAAUUUUCCCUCCCAACUUGUUAAUAUCUAUGUAUGUCCCACUCAGUAUGCUGUGAUUUGAAUCAUAUCAAAAUCUAUAGAAAUACACCAAACGAAAUCACCACUUUCCUAUGUAUAUGCAAAGUGUCAGGAAAAUCAUUGGUUAAACAUCCCACUGUUCAUUCUUUUCCCAGGCUGGAUGCAGUGGACCCAGUGGACAAGACUAUAGAGCAUGGAGGGCCACCUUGAAAGCAGUCACAACCUACAGAAGGAAGCAUCAGGCAGCUGCCAACGAGUUUUGUUAAGAGCAAGAUCAGGGCUUCCCUACGAGAAUGACGAUGACUUCAUUGGGCUUUAAGGAAAUUCAUUCAGGUGUGGAGUUGGGUGGAAAGUGCCAGAAAAGUAUGAGUGACCCAUCUAGAGUUUGGUAAUUAUUUCAUAACUGCCUGGUGCUUAAACCUUUGGGACACCAGAUCACAGAUUGUAUUACCUAAGGACCAAACCCAGAUCAGAGGGAGAAUGUACUAGAACCCUUUGCCAGGAGCAAUCUCCUGCUGAAACCAUCCAAGUGGCAGGAUCCACAGCAGGACAAAGGAACUUUUGAAAGGGACUUGAAAAAGAGUUCAGUUACUCUGUGGUUAACCCAUCAAAGGCGUCUUCCUGUAACCCAGAGGACAGCAGGCCUCGACAUGUGCCGGCCAUUUGGAAAACAGAGUCAUAUGGAGUAGAUCAAACAUUUCAGGAGAGCCCCUUGCCUUGAAAACACGGACCCUUAUGAAAAUCAUUAAGCAAUUGGUUGUUAUUUAUUUGCUUACACUGUGCUUCAGCAAAGCAAGCAGGAAGAUGAGGAUAAGAACCACUGAGCCAGUUUCAGAGGCCCUAGUUCAGGAAAGAAGGAUUCCCUUACACCCCUGAUUUUAAAGAGCCUUUUACGAAGACAUCCUACCACACGGCUGGCCUAGGGAGGCUGUCUUGGCUCCCUUCGACUGUGUAUUAGGUUAACAACCACCUCAAGCUUCUUAGAAACCUAGAAAUCCCCAGGCUGUUAGAGGAAUUCCACAGGGCUAAGAAAACGCUUGCAAUCUCAGCACUGGAAGCAGAAAACUAUUUCCAAACAUCGUCCUUUCUCACUCUGUGGCACUCUGUGUAACCCACUCCCAGCCUCAGAAAACCUGGGCGGCUCCACAGCACACCCGCAAAUCUGUCCUUCUUAAUGAGCCAAGCACUCUUCGUUCAUGGCUUGGAUCCGUGGACCCGGGAACGAACGAGGAGCAAGUCCGUAUUUUCACUUCGGGAGUUACCAGCCUCUGUGCUGAGCCCUCCUGCGAGAAGGCAACCAUCUACCUUGGUACCCACCCUCAUCAAUGUAUCUGGAGGGCUACUUUCAAGGGGAUCCUUUCCUUUUGCUGUACGCGGGCCUCUCACUGUUGUGGCCUCUCCCGUUGCGAAGCACAGGC